CUUCAACUAAGUUACUAAGUUUAAGUUUACUACCUAUUUAUUUAUAGGCCUACAUACAGUUUAAAGUUAAAGGGCAAAAAGUGCUGCUGUCGCAACCAUCAAUGAUUAGGAUUGGAGUGGACGAAGAAACAUUUAUUUCCAUUUUAUUUGAUUUUAAAAGUUUUUGUAAUUUCUUUACAUAAUUUGGUUUUAACUUGCAUAGAAUAUAAUAAAUAGUUUUGUCUAAA